AUGAACGCUAGCGGGAGGCCUAACACAUGCAAGCCGAGCGGUAGAGAUCUUUCGGGAUCUUGAGAGCGGCGUACGGGUGCGGAACACGUGUGCAACCUGCCUUUAUCUGGGAGAUAGCCUUUCGAAAGGAAGAUUAAUACCCCAUAAUAUAUGAUUCGGCAUCGGAUUCUAUUGAAAGCUCCGGCGGAUGGAGAUGGGCACGCGCAAGAUUAGGUAGGUGGUGAGGUAACGCCUCACCAAGUCAGUGAUCUUUAGGGGGCCGGAGAGGGUGGUCCCCCACACUGGUACUGAGGCACGGACCAGACUCCUACGGGAGGCAGCAGUGAGGAAUAUUGGACAAUGGGUGAAAGCCUGAUCCAGCCAUCCCGCGUGAAGGACGACGGCCCUAUGGGUUGUAAACUUCUUUUGUAUAGGGAUAAACCUACCCUCGUGAGGGUAGCUGAAGGUACUAUACGAAUAAGCACCGGCUAACUCCGUGCCAGCCGCCGCCGUAA
rnacentral:rRNA from 1 species